AGUGUGGAGAGGAGGAGGAUGUGGGUGGAGAGGACGAUGAGGAUGACGAGGACUUGUUGGGUGUAGAUUCGACCAGAAGCUCAGAAUUUCUGCGGCUGAGGCUUCGGAAGAGCCACGUUGUCUACCCGCCUUCGGUGCCUACACGGCCGGAUGACAGGGUGCUGAUUAUCCCAACCGGUGACAGGUACGGACAACUUUGCUCAUUUAGAUUAUUUAAUUCUUUACAUGACGCUCUUUUUUAAAUUAUCUUCGUCCAGCUCAUGGCAGGAUACGGGGUUCGAUGGCAGAGGUCACCAUAGGCAGGUUAACGCCGUCUUGGGUAACCUCUGUCAUUUGCACAACCCGGGAGUUGUGACGAACAAGCACGGUGAGCUUAUUGCGUGCACAGCGUGGAAGGACUUUGCACUUGCUCCAGAUGCACGGUUUGGAAAUGCGCAGGGAGCAGUCAAGGAUGCCUUCUGGGCAAAUUACUUGGCCUUUCUUGAUAUUUGUGCCAUGUUUAUAAAUACUGCACUAACAAUAUUACAUACGAUAUUGCAGAAACGUUACCGUGUGGAUCCUGCAGACGUCUGUGCAAGGAAGGUUUGCAGGGAUGCAUUCUCAAAUGCAAGGCUCCGGGUUACAAAUCAGUUCAUGAAGCAGGUGAAAGGGCUUCCAGUACUCAAUUUUCGGCAGUAUUCAGAUACCUAAUUGUCCACAGAGGAGUACCAACAGGUCCAACUCCCGUGGUUGGAGGACCGUCCAGAUGCAUAUCGGGCCCUUUGUGAACUAUGGGCUUCUGAAGCAUUUCAAGAGAAAUCAAAGAAGAAAAGAAGCUGUGCCACGAAGGGUGUCAACCAUACGUUUGGAGGCAAUGGAUUCAUUCGUACGGCUAAACGAAUGGAAGCGGCAACUGGUGUCGAGCCGUCACCCAUCGAUGUGUAUCUCCGGGGGCAUAGGGGACCGGACCCGGCACAUCCGGAGGUCCUAUGUAGUCAGCAAGCAUCAGACAGAUUGGACCAAUAUGGGCAGGAGAUGGUUAGACACCAUGGUGAAAACUUCGAUUGGCGGAAGGGACCUAUUGAUCCGGAGGUGUUGCAUGCUAGCGGUGGUGGAAAGGUGCAUGGACGGUACUCCAUGUUUACCGGGGUGGUCGACUCGAGAGAUAUUCGAACACGUAGGGGAUCUUCCUCUUAGAGUUCCGGUUGUACUUCGAGCCGAUAUCGCCGCAUGGAGCAAGAUGCCGUCAUCGAGAAUCUGCAAGAGGCGCUGAGGGCGCAAAACGAGUACAACUUACAGAAGCAAGAGUACCACAGGCAGCAGCAAGAGUACUUUGCUAAAUACACCGCAGAUCAGCAAGCUUGGAUUGCCUCGGUGUUGCAGCAGCAGCAUGGCCACGGAAAUACCUUGCCACCGUGGCAGCCGCCACCACCACUGCCACCUCCACCGCCACCACCGCCAAUGUUGCCUGAGUUCUUUCCUCCGAGACCUCCUGCAGCCGAGGGAUCAGGAGUAAAUGUGAGAGACAUCUAACAAACCCCUCCAGCACAGCAAGCAACUACAACUAGAGAUGAGGAUGAAUGGGCUACCAACUUUGGCAGCAACCUAUUCGCUUCCGGAGGUAGCGGGCACAACUCCAACAACCCUCAUAUGCCGUGAGACAUGCCUUCUUUGCUGGACAUCCUAUUGCCGUGAGAUGUGGAGCUUGUGUUAUGAUUUGGAGCGGUGCUAUGGAGUUUGUAGUUAAAUUAUGUGAAUGAUGUGUGAUAAACUUUCUCCUAUUAUCUUGUACUGUU